ACUGAACGCUGGCGGCAGGCCUAACACAUGCAAGUCGAACGGUAACAGGAAGAAGCUUGCUUCUUUGCUGACGAGUGGCGGACGGGUGAGUAAUGUCUGGGAAACUGCCUGAUGGAGGGGGAUAACUACUGGAAACGGUAGCUAAUACCACAUAACGUCGCAAGACCAAAGAGGGGGACCUUCGGGCCUCUUGCCAUCGGAUGUGCCCAGAUGGGAUUAGCUAGUAGGUGGGGUAACGGCUCACCUAGGCGACGAUCCCUAGCUGGUCUGAGAGGAUGACCAGCCACACUGGAACUGAGACACGGUCCAGACUCCUACGGGAGGCAGCAGUGGGGAAUAUUGCACAAUGGGCGCAAGCCUGAUGCAGCCAUGCCGCGUGUAUGAAGAAGGCCUUCGGGUUGUAAAGUACUUUCAGCGGGGAGGAAGGGAGUAAAGUUAAUACCUUUGCUCAUUGACGUUACCCGCAGAAGAAGCACCGGCUAACUCCGUG
rnacentral:rRNA from 1 species